UGAACGCUAGCGGCAGGCUUACCACAUGCAAGUCGAGGGGCAGCGCGGGAUAGCAAUAUCCUGGCGGCGACCGGCGGAAGGGUGCGUAACGCGUGAGCGACAUGCCCGUUGCCCGGGGACAACCGGUGGAAACGCCGACUAAUCCCCGAUGGGAUAUUGUGCCGCAUGGCACGAUAUUGAAAGUUACGGCGGCGACGGAUUGGCUCGCGUCCGAUUAGCUUGUUGGCGGGGUAACGGCCCACCAAGGCUGCGAUCGGUAGGGGUUCUGAGAGGAAGGCCCCCCACAAUGGGACUGAGACACGGCCCAUACUCCUACGGGAGGCAGCAGUGAGGAAUAUUGGUCAAUGGGCGGAAGCCUGAACCAGCCAUGCCGCGUGCGGGAAGGAGGCCCUAUGGGCUGUGAACCGCUUUUGCCUGGGGGCAAUAAGGGCGUCGCGCACGUCCGAUGAGAGUACCAGGCGAAUAAGCAUCGGCUAACUCCGU
rnacentral:rRNA from 1 species